GCACGUAUGGUGUCAGUGGAUAGCACAUUUGCCUUCCAAGCAGAGUGGGUGGGUUCGAAUCCCACUACGUGCU
rnacentral:tRNA from 3 species